AGAGCAAGAUAGUUCUUAUUCUGAAUCUGUGUUUGAGCGUUUACAACAAGAUAAGUGUCUGGGCUACGAGAGCUGUAGGCGAGAUUCCUAGUUCUAAAACCCUAAGACGGCAAAACCCUAAUUGAGUCGCAGCUCGAAUGACAAAAACGGAAAACUGCCUAAAAUUGCUCUAAGUGCUAAGUUUUUGUCAAAAAAGUUCUCCUUUGUGCCUCUCGCCUAGGACUCCUUAUAUACACGCUCCUAGGUCAGUUUACGCUUUUCCUCUUCUGCCCUUAAGUCGUCAUAGCCUAAAAAUGGAGAUAUUCCUUUUUUCCCAAUCUUCGUAAUUAUCUUCGAAAACUUUGUAUUUAUCCGCGAGAUCUUGACAUUUAUCUUUCCUUGCGGACCAAGCAUAAAUCGUCCUACAGUUUAUGGGCUUUUGGUUAAGAAAUGGUAAGUGGGUUUCGAGUCACGUCUUAGGUCUCUUUGGGCCGUCUUUUGACUCAAA
rnacentral:lncRNA from 1 species